ACUCACUCUACCAUCUUGUCACAGCACUUACACUCUUAGGGCCCCUGGGAUAUCUAUUAAUCUGACUAUAUCCUGUCACCCUUCUGGGCCAAACCAUUCUGCUGGCAGAUCCCAUGUGGGAAGAGAGUGAGCAGGGGAGGGUCCAUUCCCCAUCCUGAGGUUGUUGGUGGAAGACGUUCACAGGAUUCCUCCUUCAGGUCCCUUCAGAUGGCCCCCACUAACUUAGGGGUUACAGGGUACCUUUGACUGCAGGUCACCUUCCUGUGACUUGACUUACAGGUGCAGAACACCAUGGGGUAGCAUUUCUUUAUCCUCUUUUUUUAGCCGAUUCCCUCCCUGACUAGAUUUACCUUCUGUCUCAUGUCUGGAUUUUAGAAUGGGCUUGCAUUUCCUGUACACACAGCGAUGGCUGGGCAUCCUGGAAGUGGGGCAGGCAGCUGAAGAACAGAGAAGCAAGGUUUCCACCUCACCCUACCGUACACAUGCUUUGGACUUUGGAAUCGAAGUUCAGGGGGCAUCUUAGACCUGCCAGUUUGAGGACGGACUCAGUCAAGAGGCACAGCGGGGGCCCCUGUGCAGGAUGCUCAUACCGGGCUAAAGAGACGAGCACUCAUGCGAGGUGGGAUGUUACAAAGGUCCCUACAUCUCUUGGUGCUACCCUUGAGAACCGGACCCAGGCCUACAAAGCUCCUCCAAACCCAGACAAUAGAGUCCUUCAAUGCCCAGCUUCAAAAAUGGGGAGGUAAUAAAGGUAACAGGUGGACGGACAGUCCCUU
rnacentral:lncRNA from 1 species